CGGAGCCCCUCCCGCCGCCCCGGCGAAGCCCCCUGCGGGAGGAGAUGGGAACACUGCCCCGUUCACGUUUUGCAAACCCUGCUUUGCUCAAGGAGGGCGCGGGGGCCGGCGGGCGACGCCUGCCCAGCUGCUCAGCUUUGCAAAGUGCAAAAGCGCCCCGGCCGCGCGGCGACUGGGUGGAGGGGACCCUACCCACCCCCGUACUCUGCCCCUCCCCCCACCACCGCCGGCGGAGCGGGGAGGUGGGUGCGCCCGCCCCCAGCCCGACUCCGCUGGAAACCUGGGCUCCUGGCGAGCGCCGGGCGGGGAUGCUGCCGGGUUGGGCCGGGGCCGCAGGGGCGAGGGCAGGUAGCGGGUGGUGACGGGUUGGGUGUGCGUUCCGAGCCGCCGAGUCCAGGAAGGGGGCGGGAAGCUGCCGUCUCAGCUGCAACUUCUGAGCGUGCAAAGCAACUCAGCAACUUUGCCUGCGCCGCGCCCCUCCCCCGCGCCGCCGGGCCGGGCCGGGGGCUGCGCGGUGCCUGGGGGCCCCGGCGCCGGGCCCGACGGGGGACAGAUCGGGGGCUCAGGCGAGCAGGGAGGGGGCCGGGCAGGGGCGGCAGAAGUGGCACAGCUGCCAGGGGAGUAGGACUAGGGGUGCGCCUCCACGCGCCGCGGGGCUUGGAAAGGACGCGCGGCCCCCGCCCCCCGCGGCCCCCGCGGCCCCCACCGGGCCGGGCCCGCGCCUGCUGCCGGGCUCAGCGCGAGGAAGGGGGCGGAGGAUGGCGGCGGAGCCAUGGAAACUGUGCCGGGUGGAUAAAUAAGGAGAGGGCCGCCCGAGGCCGUCCCCAGGCUGCCAGCAUCUCGGCGGCGGAUGCAGCGCUCUGGAAGCGCGGCCGAACUCCUACAAGUUUUUCCUCCCGCCCUGCAGCUCCGGGCUGGGGAAGUGGGCGCUUCCUGGAGAGGCAGGCCCCGGCUCGGAGGAAGGCUGGUGGUGGAGACUGGCCCCGGGGGAGGGGAGAGAGCUGCGAGGUGUGGGGCAAAGGAGAGUGUGAAGGUGACUUCGGGCCUCCCGAGGUCAUCGGCUGUUUGUUACCAGCCCGAAUGACGGCACGAGGCCCUGGCGGGUUCUGGCAACCCGAAGAGCCUGGGGAAACCUCUAGAUUCGUGUUCAGAAAGAUGGAUUCGCCCAGUUCAGACACUCAGAACUAA
rnacentral:lncRNA from 1 species